CUAUGACUCUAUGAUUCUCUGAUCAUGAGGAUAUGAUACUUCAUAAAGAAACAUACAUGAAAAGAGAAGUGACUGAGGGCUGUUGUUGCUUUUACUUCCAGAAAAAUUGAACAUUUCUGGUCCAUCACAGAACAGGAAAAUAUUAAAAAAAAAAAAAAGGGGGAAAAAAAUCUAAAGAUGUACUGUAUAAAAACCUAUAGGACCACAACAAUAAGAACCUGACCACGAAGCUUUGCUCAGCCUGUGUGGUGAAUAUUGUCUCUUGGUGAAUAUAGCUUCAUGCCAUAGCUGUGUGAAUACUUUCAGGCCUUAUAUGUUAUCUAACAGUUGGUUGGUGCUGUUGGCUCACUGCAGAUGGUUAUGUUUUGAUGUGAGUUAUUAUUGGGUAGCUCUCACUUACAACGUGGAGGACUUCUAUUUGUGGUUAUUUUUGGACAUGCUGCUCUUUUCUUUGAGUGCUCUGCGUGGUAGUCACGUCUAUUGCCUGAGUUGCUGUUGAAGGAAGGUUGAGUAAUUCAUUGCUGUAUUUGAAGCUGCGUGUGUUUGUCUUUGUCGUUUCCUUCUUCUUCCCCGCCCCCUUUCCAUUUUAGGUGGUAGAUUUAAAACUGCAAGUCAAGUUAGAAGAGAAGAAGAAGAAAGCAUUGAACUCGCAGAACACCUCAAAGAAAAGACAUCUGUGAGUACUGCCAGCUGUUGCUACUCCAAAUUUGUAUGUGGUGAAUCCUCCUUAUACAUCUGCCUAUGAAAUGAUGAUCUUGAAGUUUAAUCUAAAGGAACAGAUACCUCCCUACUUGCAUUCAGUGCAGCAGAUAGCAAGGCCUCAGCCUCUGCAGUUUCCAGGUCCCCAGACGGUGCAACAUGAUCCAGGCAAGAUGGAAGCUUUGGCUGUCUUGCUUCAGAAGCUGAAAGCAAAAUAACAUCGUGUGUCCAUUUUGAGGCAGAUGAUCCCAGUGCUUGAUAUACUGGAGCUUUUCUUGAACCUCCAUGUUCUUACAUAAGAGUUAAUGAGAGCGAGGCUCACAGCUGGCGUUAUCUGGAAUCCAUAAAAAACUUCAAGCAAGACAAGACAUGGCAGAAUCCCCUCCCUCGCCCUGCUGGCCACGCUGCUUUGGAUGCAGCCCAGGACACGGUCGGUUUCUGGGCUGGGAGCACACGUUGCCAGCUCACGUCAAGGUUCUCAUCCCCAGCACCCCAAGUCCUUCUCCUCAGGGCUGCUCUCAAUCUCAUCAUCUUGUGAUGUAAAACUGUUUUGCACUCCUUUGCUUUGGCAGAUGCUUGAGUUUUUUUCUUUCUGUUGUUUUGUUGGGUUUU